rnacentral:rRNA from 1 species
AACGAGACCGUUCUCUACGAGGCCGGUCAUCGGAAUGGGUACAAUCUAAACCCUUUAACGAGUAUCUAUGAGAGGGCAAGUCUGGUGCCAGCAGCCGCGGUAAUUCCAGCUCUCAAAAUGCAUAGAAUUAUUGCUGCGGUUAAAAAGCUCGUAGUUGGAUGUGUGCCAGGGACUCGGUCCACCUCCGGGUGCGUACUGGGCUCUCUGGCUUUUUGCCGGUUUUCUCGUCGUAGCCUUCACUGGUUGCGGCGGGUGGCUGGCGAUUUUACUUUGAACAAAUCAGAGUGCUUAACACAGGCGUUUCGCUUGAAUGUUCGUGCAUGGAAUAAUAGAAGAGGAUUUCGGUUCUAUUUUAUUGGUUUUAUAGACUGAGAUAAUGGUUAACAGAGACAAACGGGGGCAUUCGUAUCGCUGCGUGAGAGGUGAAAUUCUUGGACCGCAGCGAGACGAACUACAGCGAAAGCAUUUGCCAAGAAUGUCUUCAUUAAUCAAGAACGAAAGUCAGAGGUUCGAAGGCGAUCAGAUACCGCCCUAGUUCUGACCGUAAACGAUGCCAACUAGCGAUCCGCCGGUGGAUAUUUUGCCCUGGUGGGGAGCUUCCCGGAAACGAAAGUCUUCCGGUUCCGGGGGAAGUAUGGUUGCAAAGCUGAAACUUAAAGGAAUUGACGGAAGGGCACCACCAGGAGUGGAGCCUGCGGCUUAAUUUGACUCAACACGGGAAAACUCACCCGGCCCGGACACCGUAAGGAUUGACAGAUUGAUAGCUUUUUCAUGAUUCGGUGGUUGGUGGUGCAUGGCCGUUCUUAGUUCGUGGAGCGAUUUGUCUGGUUUAUUCCGAUAACGAGCGAGACUCUAGCCUACUAAAUAGUCCUCACAUUGUCUUGUGUCGAGGUACUUCUUAGAGGGAUUUUCGGUGUUCAGCCGCACGAGAUUGAGCA